rnacentral:rRNA from 1 species
UACAGAGGGGGCAAGCGUUGUUCGGAAUUACUGGGCGUAAAGGGCGCGUAGGCGGCCUGCUAAGUCGAACGUGAAAUCCCUGGGCUCAACCCAGGAACUGCGUCCGAUACUGGUUGGCUUGAAUCCGGGAGAGGGAUGUGGAAUUCCAGGUGUAGCGGUGAAAUGCGUAGAUAUCUGGAGGAACACCUGUGGCGAAGGCGACAUCCUGGACCGGUAUUGACGCUGAGGCGCGAAAGCCAGGGGAGCAAACGGG